rnacentral:rRNA from 1 species
UACGGAGGGUGCAAGCGUUGUCCGGAAUCACUGGGCGUAAAGGGCGCGUAGGCGGCUCAUGAAGGCUGUGGUGAAAGUCCGGGGCUCAACCUCGGAUCGGCCGUGGCGACUCGUGGGCUGGAGCACUGUAGAGGCGGGUGGAAUUCCGGGUGUAGCGGUGGAAUGCGUAGAGAUCCGGAAGAACACCGACGGCGAAGGCAGCGUCCUGGCCGAGCACUGACGCUGAGGAGCGAAAGCCAGGGGAGCAAACGGG